rnacentral:rRNA from 1 species
GACGAACGCUGGCGGCGCGCUUAACACAUGCAAGUCGAACGGAAAGGCCUGCUUUCCCUUGUGGAUUGCGGGUACUCGAGUGGCGAACGGGUGAGUAACACGUGAGUGAUCUGCCCCCAACUUGGGUAUAAGCCUGGGAAACUGGGUCUAAUUCCCGAUAGGACUGCAGGGUGGUGCCUGUGGUGGAAAACGAUUUUCUAGUGGUUGGGGAUGAGCUCGCGGCCUAUCAGCUUGUUGGUGGGGUAAUGGCCUACCAAGGCGGCGACGGGUAGCCGGCCUGAGAGGGUGGACGGCCACAUUGGGACUGGGAUACGGCCCAGACUCCUACGGGAGGCAGCAGUGGGGAAUAUUGCACAAUGGGCGGAAGCCUGAUGCAGCGACGCCGCGUGGGGGAUGACGGCCUUCGGGUUGUAAACUCCUUUCGACCGCGAGGAAGCCACCUGGUUGGAAGGGUGGUGACGGUAGUGGUAGAAGAAGCACCGGCGAACUACGU